AUUUCAUUAAUAGAAGAUUUUAAAGCAACUGCACCCUGGUGCCACCUAAGUAAACUAGGAGUACAGAAGAUUAACUACCUUCAUUGAAGAAAAGGACAAACAUAAAAUAAGUGGAAAAAGAAAUCAUGAAUUACAACUUUUCUUGAGAAUUAUAAAAUCAUAAUGUUGCAGAAUUGUUUUCCAUGUAAGCUAAUGGAGUGAUAUCCUGAGAGAGUUGUCGAUCCCAUGAGCAUUGGAAUUAAGUACCAAAAGCACAUGCUAAUCCUACUAUUAUUUAGACUACUUAAAUAAUAGGAUAACUAAUUAACUAAUAAAAAAUAAAAUAAAUUACAA
rnacentral:misc_RNA from 1 species